GAGGGUAUAGCUCAGUGGUAGAGCAUGUGCUUAGCAUGCACAAGGUCCAGGGUUCAGUCCACAUUACCCCCA
rnacentral:tRNA from 1 species